AAUUUUCACGAUGGGUAGAAAACAUCCUUUAGCUAAUUUCUUGAUUCUCCUCUUGAACUUGGGUACGUUACUAUCUUCUUUAGCAUGUCCAUAUUGCCCUUAUCCUACUCCUCCCCCUCCGUGUCCCCCAACAUUUCCACCAAAACACCCUCCGCAUGUAAAGCCACCUUUCCACCCCAAACCACCGCAUCACAAGCCACCCCAUGUCAAACCACCGCACAAGCCCCCGUAUGUUCCUAAACCACCUUACACACCAAGGCCUAAACCGCCUUACACGCCAAAACCACCUUAUACGCCAACCCCUAAGCCACCAUAUUUCCCCAAACCACCUUACACACCAAGGCCUAAGCCACCGUAUGCGCCAAAACCACCUUAUACGCCAACCCCUAAGCCACCCUAUUUCCCCAAACCACCUUACACACCAAGUCCCAAAACCACCUUACACCCCAACUCCUAAGCCACCGUAUGUCCCUAAACCACCGUAUGUACCAUCACCACCUUAUACCCCUCGCCCUAGACCACCGUAUGUACCAUCGCCACCUUAUACCCCUAGUCCUAAACCACCGUAUGUGCCAUCACCACCUUAUACCCCCAGCCCUACCCCACCAUAUGUACCAUCACCACCGUAUACCCCAAGCCCUACCCCGCCAUAUGUACCAUCACCACCGUAUACCCCAAGCCCUAGCCCACCACCACCACCAAGUGGAACACCGUGUCCUCCGCCGCCGCCACCAACUUGUCCCAUUGAUACUCUCAAGCUUGGUGCAUGCGUCGACGUGUUGGGUGGUCUAGUACACAUCGGUAUAGGCAGCAGUGCAAAGGACGCUUGCUGCCCCGUGCUGCAGGGGCUAC
rnacentral:lncRNA from 1 species